GUCUGAUAGGCAGACUGGCAGAGGCGGGAGGUAGUCUGAUAGGCAGACUGGCAGAGGCGGGAGGUAGUCUGAUAGGCAGACUGGCAGAGGCGGGAGGUAGUCUGAUAGGCAGACUGGCAGAGGCGGGAGGUAGUCUGAUAGGCAGACUGGCAGAGGCGGGAGGUAGUCUGAUAGGCAGACUGGCAGAGGCGGGAGGUAGUCUGAUAGGCAGACUGGCAGAGGCGGGAGGUAGUCUGAUAGGCAGACUGGCAGAGGCGGGAGGUAGUCUGAUAGGCAGACUGGCAGAGGCGGGAGGUAGUCUGAUAGGCAGACUGGCAGAGGCGGGAGGUAGUCUGAUAGGCAGACUGGCAGAGGCGGGAGGUAGUCUGAUAGGCAGACUGGCAGAGGCGGGAGGUAGUCUGAUAGGCAGACUGGCAGAGGCGGGAGGUAGUCUGAUAGGCAGACUGGCAGAGGCGGGAGGUAGUCUGAUAGGCAGACUGGCAGAGGCGGGAGGUAGUCUGAUAGGCAGACUGGCAGAGGCGGGAGGUAGUCUGAUAGGCAGACUGGCAGAGGCGGGAGGUAGUCUGAUAGGCAGACUGGCAGAGGCGGGAGGUAGUCUGAUAGGCAGACUGGCAGAGGCGGGAGGUA